rnacentral:misc_RNA from 1 species
AACGCACAUUGCGCCCGUCAGUAUUCUGGCGGGCAUGCCUGUUCGAGCGUCAUUUCAACCCUUAAGCCUCUGUUGCUUAGUGUUGGGAGCCUGCCAGGGCUUGCCCGGGCAGCUCCCCAAAGACAGUGGCGGAGUCGGUCUUGCACUCCAGACGUAGUAGAAUUUUCGUCUCGUCUGCGGUCUGGCCGGCGCCCUGCCGUAAAACACCCCAAUUUCUCAAGGUUGACCUCGGAUCAGGUAGGAAUACCCGCUGAACUUAA